rnacentral:misc_RNA from 1 species
AAGUCGUAACAAGGUUUCCGUAGGUGAACCUGCGGAAGGAUCAUUAUUGUACUUAAGGGUCACCAAUUUGAAGACCUCAGAUUGGUGAUCAUCAGUACAUACCUAUAUAAUAGGAGCAAAAAGUAUUUAAAAACCCCCCACACUUAAAAAUUUAAUGUAUAUUUUUACUAUAAAGUAAUUAAAAGAUCA